rnacentral:rRNA from 1 species
AUUGAACGCUGGCGGCAGGCCUAACACAUGCAAGUCGAGCGGAGCGGCGGACGGGGGCGUAAUGCCUAGGAAUCUGCCUGGUAGUGGGGGAUAACGUUCGGAAACGGGCGCUAAUACCGCAUACUAUCAGAUGAGCCUGGGUCGGAUUAGCUAGUUGGUGGGGUAAAGGUCUACCAAGGCGACGAUCCGUACCUGGUCUGAGAGGAUGAUCAGUCACACUGGAACUGAGACACGGUCCAGACUCCUACGGGAGGCAGCAGUGGGGAAUAUUGGACAAUGGGCGAAAGCCUGAUGCAGCCAUGCCGCGUGUGUGAAGAAGGUCUUCGGAUUGUAAAGCACUUUAAGUUGGGAGGCGUUACCAGCAGAAUAAGCACCGGCUAACUUCGUGCCAGCAGCCGCGGUAAUAC